UUGAACGCUGGCGGCAUGCCUUACACAUGCAAGUCGAACGGCAGCACGGGGGCAACCCUGGUGGCGAGUGGCGAACGGGUGAGUAAUAUAUCGGAACAUGCCCUGAAGUGGGGGAUAACGUAGCGAAAGUUACGCUAAUACCGCAUAUUCUGUGAGCAGGAAAGCAGGGGAUCGCAAGACCUUGCGCUUUAGGAGUGGCCGAUAUCGGAUUAGCUAGUUGGUGAGGUAAAGGCUCACCAAGGCGACGAUCCGUAGCGGGUCUGAGAGGAUGAUCCGCCACACUGGGACUGAGACACGGCCCAGACUCCUACGGGAGGCAGCAGUGGGGAAUUUUGGACAAUGGGCGCAAGCCUGAUCCAGCCAUGCCGCGUGAGUGAAGAAGGCCUUCGGGUUGUAAAGCUCUUUCGGUUGGGAAGAAAUUGCUUGGGUUAAUACCCUAAGUAGAUGACGGUACCAGCAUAAGAAGCACCGGCUAACUACGUG
rnacentral:rRNA from 1 species